GUGGGGAAUCUUAGACAAUGGGGGAAACCCUGAUCUAGCCAUGCCGCGUGAGCGAUGAAGGCCUUAGGGUUGUAAAGCUCUUUCAGCUGGGAAGAUAAUGACGGUACCAGCAGAAGAAGCCCCGGCUAACUCCGUGCCAGCAGCCGCGGUAAUACGGAGGGGGCUAGCGUUGUUCGGAAUUACUGGGCGUAAAGCGCACGUAGGCGGAUCAGAAAGUCAGAGGUGAAAUCCCAGGGCUCAACCUUGGAACUGCCUUUGAAACUCCUGGUCUUGAGGUCGAGAGAGGUGAGGGGAAUUCCGAGUGUAGAGGUGAAAUUCGUAGAUAUUCGGAGGAACACCAGUGGCGAAGGCGGCUCACUGGCACGAUACUGACUCUGAGGUGCGAAAGCGUGGGGAGCAAACAGGAUUAGAUACCCCGGUAGUCC
rnacentral:rRNA from 1 species